UAAGAUGCUAGUGUGUGUGUCUACCAGAUUCUAGCAUGCCAUGGUUUUCUUAAAUAAUUUCUGUUUUGAAAAGUUGUCAAUUUUCUUAUAACAGCUGAUAUCCUUGUUCAUAAGUUCUUCAAGACUCCUUAUUUCAAGAAAGGGGUUCGUCCAAUUCCAGGUGCUCUGAAAGCUCUUCGACACUUGUCCAAAUUCUGUAAUUUGUCUGUUGUUACUUCCCGACAGAACGCAAUUAAAGAAGACACAAUUGCAUGGAUCGAGAAGCAUUAUCCGGGCCUCUUUCAGGGGAUUCACUUUGGAAAUCACUUUGCUUUAGAAGGACUAGAGAGACCGAAAUCAGAUAUUUGCAAGUCCUUGGGAGCAAAGGUUUUGAUUGAUGAUAAUCCUAGAUAUGCUAUUGAAUGUGCUGAUGCUGGGAUAUGGGUUCUUCUUUUCGAUCAUGAAAAUUCUUAUCCAUGGUGCAAGACAAAGUCUGUGAAUCAACAUCCUCUCAUCACCAAGGUCAAUAACUGGAAAGAGGUGCAACGUCUAGUGUUGCGGUUAGUUUCCUAAAGACAGCUAGGCUAUGAGACGACGUAUUUCAUGAAAAAAAUCAAAUAGAUUUAUGUAGUUUUUUUUACGUAUCUUGAAGCGGCGUCUUAUCUCGUAGUAAUGGAGGCGGAGGCGGAGGCGGAGGCGAUUUGAUUUUGAUUUUGAUUUUUUGCAACUCUUCAUUCGUUGCAAUG